rnacentral:rRNA from 1 species
AUUAGGCAUGCAAGUCGAACGGUAUAAACCUUCGGGGUUUAGAGAGCGGCGAACGGGUGAGUAACACGUAGGUAAUCUACCCUCAAAACGGGGACAACCCAGGGAAACUUGGGCUAAUACCGGAUGCGUGCAAGCAAUGUUUUGGUUGUUAAUGCUAUUCACGGAAGUGAGUAGUGUUAAUGGUUGAGAGCAUUAUUUGCAUAAAAGGUGGCAUAUGCUGCCGUUUGAGGAUGAGCCUGCGUCCUAUUAGUUAGUUGGUGAGGUAAUGGCUUACCAAGGCGAUGAUAGGUAGGCGGCCUUAACGGGUGGUCGCCCACACUGGGAUUGAGAGACGGCCCAGACUCCUACGGGAGGCAGCAGUCGAGAAUAGUCUACAAUGGACGGAAGUCUGAUAGUGCGACGCCGCGUGAACGAAGAAUCCCUUCGGGGUGUAAAGUUCUUUUAUACGUGAGCAGUGCCCUUUAUAUGAAUAGUAUAGAGGGAGGGAUUUAAGCGUAUGAAUAAGCAACGGCUAACUCCGUG